CCAGGUGUGGUGGUAGGCGCCUGUGAUCCCAACUACUCUGGAGGCUGAGGCAGGAGAAUCUCUUGAACCCGGGAGGCGGAGGUUGCAGUAAGC
ensembl:miRNA